CCUACGGGAGGCAGCAGUGAGGAAUAUUGGUCAAUGGACGAGAGUCUGAACCAGCCAAGUAGCGUGAAGGAUGACUGCCCUAUGGGUUGUAAACUUCUUUUAUAAAGGAAUAAAACGAGGCACGUGUGCCUUUUUGCAUGUACUUUAUGAAUAAGGAUCGGCUAACUCCGUGCCAGCAGCCACGGUAAUACGGAGGAUCCGAGCGUUAUCCGGAUUUAUUGGGUUUAAAGGGAGCGUAGAUGGGUUGUUAAGUCAGUUGUGAAAGUUUGCGGCUCAACCGUAAAAUUGCAAUUGAUACUGGCAGUCGUGAGUACAGUUGAGGUAGGCGGAAUUCGUGGUGUAGCGGUGAAAUGCUGAGAUAUCACGAAGAACCCCGAUUGCGAAGGCAGCUUACUAAACUGUGACUGACAUUGAUGCUCGAAAGUGUGGGUAUCAAACAGGAUUAGAUACCCGUGUAGUC
rnacentral:rRNA from 1 species